UACGUAGGGUGCGAGCGUUGUCCGGAUUUAUUGGGCGUAAAGAGCUCGUAGGCGGCUUGUUGCGUCGACCGUGAAAACCCGGGGCUCAACUUCGGGCUUGCGGUCGAUACGGGCGGGCUAGAGUUCGGUAGGGGAGACUGGAAUUCCUGGUGUAGCGGUGAAAUGCGUAGAUAUCUGGAGGAACACCGGUGGCGAAGGCGGCAUCCUGGACCGGCACUGACGCUGAGGAGCGAAAGCCAGGGGAGCAAACGGG
rnacentral:rRNA from 1 species